CCAAGGACACGGGUGAGUGGCAGAGCAGAACUCAAAUCGGAGUCUGUGUGAUUCUGAAACUCUCUCAACAGAGUGUGCUGUCCCACCUCUGUGCUUCUGAGAAUGUUCAAAGUCUAAAUGUUCCACAGAUCUGCCGGGUCAUCACUCUUCCCCUCAGCCAGCCAUGUGAUCAUAAACGUUCCUAUGAUAUGGGGUCGGCUCUCAAUUAGAGGAUGUAGUUGUUAGUUCCAGUUCCCAGCUGGCAAAACAACGGAGAACACGCUGGGAAAUGUGGGGAGUUUCCUACAGAUGGUCUCAGAAGAAGCUUUCAUAGAAACAUUCGUACUUUCGGAUAGUGGAGGAAACCCGUACUCAAAGCAAUCUCAUGAGGGCAGGUAGCUACAGAAGCAGGCAAAAGGUUGGCGCUAAGGCUGUGUCUCCAUGAGAGAAAGACCCUGUGAGGUGAGCAAGAGGGCUUCGUGGGCUAUCCCUCCACCCCCAGCCCCCAGGCCCAUGCAGUGGGUCCCCACCUGUUCCCUCCUGCCUUGACUCCUGCCCAACUCAUCUGUGAAAGCAGCAGCGAGUUAGUAGUGGGAACAGCACUGGAUGUGGAGUCAGACCUGUAAUCAUACUCUAGCCCCAACACCGACCUGCCGUGUGACCUUGGGCAAGUCACUGCACUGCUCUGAGGUUCCCUCAACUGCCAACUGUCCAAGGGCUAUUGUGAGCAUUAAAAGCUGGUGUGUAAAGUUUCUUCCCAGUUACAAGCUUCUCAGUUACGAGCAAACAGCAACCAAAACGUCUAGUGUUCUGGUUAAGUGCAGACUCUGGGGUUAGGCUAUCCUGGUUUUUGUUGUUUAACUGUUUGCUUGACAUACAGGCAGUACUGGGUUAGAAUCCAAUUUUGACCGCUUAUCUGUGUGACUUUGGGCAAGUCCUUUAACUUCUCUGCCUUGAUUUUUCUCAUCUUUAAAGUGGGGAUCGACAGUGGUGUCUUCUCCUUGGUGAAGAUAAAAUGAGGUAAUGCAUCAGAAGCAUAUAGCCCAGGGCCUGACACAUGCGAAUUACUUAAAGUACUUAACGCUUGUUGACUACUGUCCAUUCCCUCCUCCCAGAGCCCCUCAGUUGUCUCUCUUUCUCCCUGUCCCCACCACCCUUUUAAGUAGAGGGAGCCACGCCCAAAGCCUGGAGAGAGGGCCAUCCAUCCAAGCAUCUUUGCCCCCCAGGGAGAGGAUAGAGCCCUCUCUUUUUUCCCCUCCCACCCCAGCGCCUCUCUCUGAGUUAUACUUCAUGUGUGUGACUCAGUCUGAAACUUCUUAUUCUAAAUAAUUUCCUGUUUCUCUUUCCUUCUUCUGCUCCACACCCACUGCCCAGGCUGUGGGCCAAAUUGAGAAAUUGAGGGGCAGAUGACACAUACUUGAACUGGGCCUGAGGGCUGUACUUGUGAUGGGCCUGGAGUCACUCAUUCCUACCAUCACGACCAGCUUUACAGUAAUCAGACUAUUUCCAUGGGCUUCAGAGAGCCCUCGAAGGGGAUUAAAUUCUCACCUGGAGGCGUGAGUAGAGGGUUGGAAUCAGAAGGCACGAGACUGAAGUAAAAACUUAACACCAGCCAAGACUAGCUCUGUGGUCUUGGGCAAGUCAUUUGGCCACUCAGUCUCAUUUUCGUCAUCUGCAAACCAUCCUCAAAGGGUUAUAUGAAUCGAGGCUCUGACAGAGAUUAGGUGUAGAGCAAAGGGUAGCCAAGUUGCAAGAAUGCUUGAUAGAACUGCAGAGCUAGGUGAGACCCUCCAGAACCAGAAGAUCUUAACUCGGGGUCCAUUAAGCUUCCCAGGAAUAUGGAAAUUAUAUGCAUAUGUAAAACAGCAUAUAUAUUGGUAUUUUUCUGGAAGGAGAGGGUACAGGGAUUUCAGCAGAUUUUGAAAGGUGUUUGUGACCCCCUAAAAUGUUAACAACUAUUGCCUCCAGGAGAGCACAUAACUAGCACUUUUACUUUACGAGUACUCAGGACAGACUUUCUGUCCCAGCACUGGGCAUGAGUUCAUGCAGAAGACAUGAAUGUUCUGGGCACUGACGAUACAAAGACAAAUCCUCCUUGCCUUUCUGGAGCACUGCGCGUCAAAGAGGUUAAGUCGGUUAGCCAAGGUCACCCACUUCUGAAGGAAGCCCACUGUCAGGAUCGGACCCCGCUGUUAGGAUUGGAACCCCAAGUCUCUGACUGCAAAGCCAGCCCCUGUGUGUCUCCGUAGAGGGCCCUCCAUGUCUGUUGCGUGCCAGAGUUUCCUCUGGUCCUGAGACCAG